ACUGCAGGAAGCUGCAAGCAUUUUAGAUGACCUUGCAAAGAAAAACUAAAUCAGGUGUCAUGUUCCAAUUCAAAGCCACGAAGCAGUGUGACCCGGGGAGUGGAAAAUGGGACAGAAGAUGGCAAAGAAGAGUCAGUUGAGGAAUAAUGAGAAAAUGUGAAAACUGUAAGCUCAAGUUCAUCCCUGAGCAGAGGAGAAGAGCAAACAGCCUGUGACCCGCACCAGCCUAGGACUGAGGGCAUGGGUGACACUGAAACCAUCUACAAGCAACAAACUCUGUGUUGCAGCAAUGAUGUACAUGAAGUCCAGCUCAUUCCAUAAAAGACACAACCUGUUCAGAAGAUGCUCUGCUGGCAUUCCCACUUGCCAAAUGCAGAUGCUCCAGAUGGGCGGUCAGAUGGGAGCCCACAUGCUGGCCUCCAGACCCACACUCAUUCUGCUGGAUCAUGGAUGAAACAUCAUUGGUGUUCACAACCGAGUGGGACUGUCAGAUUGUUCAGCUGGCACUUACACCCUGUUUUGAGUUCAGGACUGUGUAUCUUUCACAAUGGCAAUCAAGACUCCAAUGCAGAUCCAGAAUCCACCACAUCCUCUGGCAAAUUGUUCCAAUGACUCUAACCUGGAAAGAACCAACUGACUUUUUACCUGACAUUACGUUCCAACCACUAUUUUUGCUUUGCCCUUCUCUGCAAGACCAAAGAGUCCUUCAGCAUCUGGUGUUAUCCCUCUGCCUUCAUGUUACGUAGGACAAUAAAGUCACUCCUCAAUUUUCUUUCUGACAAGCUAGUUGAAGUGACACAUUUCAGUCUCACAUAGCAGUGAUUUUUUUCCUAACCCACUGGCACCUUUACAGGGUUAUAGUUACAUCCAUGUAGGAGACUGUCCUGGAAAGAUUACCAUAGGAAAGAUUAUCCAUCCCCU
rnacentral:lncRNA from 1 species